rnacentral:rRNA from 1 species
CCUACGGGUGGCAGCAGGGAGGAAGAUUGGGCAAUGGACGAGAGUCUGAACCAGCCAAGUAGCGUGAAGGAUGACUGCCCGAUGGGUUGUAAACUUCUGUUAUAGGGGAAUAAAAUGUUCCACGUGGGGGAUUUUGUAUGUACCAUAUGAAUAAGGAUCGGCUAACUCCGUGCCAGCAGCCGCGGUAAUACGGAGGAUCCGAGCGUUAUCCGGAUUUCUUGGGUUUAAAGGGAGCGUAGGUGGAUUGGUAAGUCAGUUGGGAAAGUUUGCGGCUCAACCGUAAAAUUGCAGUUGAAACUGGCAGUCUUGAGUCCAGUAGAGGUGGGCGGACUUCGUGGUGUAGCGGU